AUACGAAGGGGGCUAGCGUUGUUCGGAAUUACUGGGCGUAAAGCGCGCGUAGGCGGAUUGGUCAGUUAGGGGUGAAAUCCCAGGGCUUAACCCUGGAACUGCCUCUAAUACUGCCAGUCUUGAGUUCGGGAGAGGUGAGUGGAAUUCCUAGUGUAGAGGUGAAAUUCGUAGAUAUUAGGAAGAACACCAGGGGCGAAGGCGGCUCACUGGCCCGAUACUGACGCUGAGGCGCGAAAGCGUGGGGAGCAAACAGGAUUAGAUACCCCUGUAGUCC
rnacentral:rRNA from 1 species